rnacentral:rRNA from 1 species
AGCAGUGGGGAAUUUUGGACAAUGGGCGCAAGCCUGAUCCAGCAAUGCCGCGUGAGUGAAGAAGGCCUUCGGGUUGUAAAGCUCUUUUGUCAGGGAAGAAACGGUCCGGGUUAAUACCUUGGGCUAAUGACGGUACCUGAAGAAUAAGCACCGGCUAACUACGUGCCAGCAGCCGCGGUAAUACGUAGGGUGCAAGCGUUAAUCGGAAUUACUGGGCGUAAAGCGUGCGCAGGCGGUUGUGCAAGACCGAUGUGAAAUCCCCGGGCUUAACCUGGGAAUGGCAUUGGUGACUGCACGGCUAGAGUGUGUCAGAGGGGGGUAGAAUUCCACGUGUAGCAGUGAAAUGCGUAGAGAUGUGGAGGAAUACCGAUGGCGAAGGCAGCCCCCUGGGAUAACACUGACGCUCAUG